GUACACAGUUUCAGCUAUGCAUGUGGAAUGCUCUGUGCUUAUUAUGCAGGGGGGCAGCUAUUUCCAACAAAUUGCCAUUGAGCAUCUGUGAGCUGCCACUUCUUGCCUUACCCCAGUGAUUCUCAAAGUCUGCACGGGGGCACGAAGCACAACAAAUCCUAGGUAGAGAGUGUUACUAAAACGUGUAGUGGAACCAAAGCAUGUGGGUGGAGUGGAGCAACGAGGAUUUCUGCUUAUCGUGCACGGAUUGGUACGCUUUCCCUUGCUCGCAACCAGUGCAAGCUGCUCUGCUCAAUAUCGAUCCCCACCCCAGUGGAUUUUCACUCUGCUUCAAUGAAAUCACUCACCGCUCCAAAAAAGAAAGCAAUCUGCAUUGUAUUAUAAUUUUAGCGUAAACUGUAGCCUGGCAUCUAAAUAACUGAGCAGCCAAAUCCACAUUCAAGCAGAAAUGACAUUUCAAGAUGUGAGCGGGUUUCCAAUUUUGGUUAGUUGGCUGGCAUGCGAUUUUCAAUUCGAGACAAGUCUGCACACAUAUUCACGUGUAUGUAAUAGUUUGAUUACCUUGUAAAUGGGUUGUAUAGUUUGCAAACUGUCCCAACAUUAUUGAUGUAGCUAAUUUUAGGUUUCUAAUGGAAUAAUUUAGAUUUGCCAUAAUAUUUCUUGUGUGUCGCUCUGCGCUCUUUCCCACUCAGCCAAAAUCCUUCCCACAUGCUCUGAGUGGAACCACGGAACCAAAGUUGAAUACAGCUGGGAGCCUUUGUUGUUUCUUUCAGACAGUGAAACUAACAUAAAGUAAAACACGGAGAAGUUUCAUCAAAAGUUUGCAGUGAGAUUACAUUAGGGACGAAACGUGUGUCUCACGGUCAAUGCCUGACACCUGAGCGCACUGCCUACCGCAUUCAUCAAAUCAGGCUCUUACUCUUCCACCUUUUUUACACUCCAUCUGUGUGUGCAUCCAUGUAAUUACGUGCUUGCAGUGGGAUCACACAAAAUUUACUUUGGAAUUUACUCGGAAACAACAAAUGCUAUUUUACAGUUGUUCGGAGCUGGCUAUUAACUCAGUGUAACUGAGGACAGUUAUGAACUCCGCAGAAAGCUCCGUAUACCUGCGCGUCAUUUACCUUGGUGGGCGUAAUCCCUUACCUCUCAAUGUGAGAAACACAAGGUGUGGCGUGUGAACUGGUUCAAAAAUGUGUGUCUCACGGUCAAUGCGUGACACCUGAGAGUUCUGUAUGUGUGGGUGUAUGUGUAUAAAUAUAUAUGGACAGGCACGCAAUGGAGUGACAGGCAUUGAUGAAAACUAGUAUGGCACAUAGAAAUUAACAUGGUGUGUGUGUGGUAAACUGCAAGGACUUUGUUGUAGAGUCUGACAGUGGUUGGAAGGAAAGACCUUCUGAAUCUCUCCUUCCCACAAUGUGGAUGCAGGAGCCUGCCACUAAAGGAGUAUGGCUACUUAAAGGAGUUACUCAGUGCCAUCAGAGUCUCCUGCAUGGGGUGGUAGAUGUUAUCCAACUGGAAUGACAGCUUAGCCACCAUUCCCUUGUCACUCACAACCUCCACUGGUUCCAGAGGGCAUCCUGAACAGAGCUGGUCCCCCGGUUCAGCCUGUUCAGUCUCCUUCCAUCCCCAGCAGACCACACUGUAAAAGAUGGCUGAUGCCACUACAGAGUCAUAGAAGGUCCUCAGGAAUGGCCCCUGCACUCCAGAAAACCUAAGCCCCCGCAGCAGGUACAACCUGCUCUGCCCUUUUUUGUAGAGUGCAUUAGUGUUAUGAGUCCAGUCCAGUUCAUUGUUCAGGUGAACAUCAAGGUACCUCAAGCUCUCCACAGCCUCCAUGUUAAUACCCUGAAUGUUCAGUGGUUGCAUUGGAGGAUGUUUGUGCCUGCGGAAGUCUACACCAACUCCUUGGUUUUUCCAGUGUUGAUCUCCAUACUCCCUGUCAUCCCCAUCAGUGAUGAGGCCGAAUAUUGCAGAGUCAUUUAAGAACUUUUGGAAAAAGCAGUUGGUGGAGUUGUAGAAGUCUGCUGUGUAGAUGGUGAAGAGGAAUGGCACCAGAACCGACGAUCCUGUCCGACACACAGUCCUGAGUUCUCACAUACUGUGGUCGGUUAGUGAGUUAGUCCUGGAUCCAUGUGGAGAGGUGAAACUCCACUCCUGUGUACACUCAUUUGAAUGAACAGUUCGACAGAAUCGGUUCUAUAAAUUCAAUCGAACUUCUCAUCACUACUUUCUGCCAUAUUUAAACUUUUGGCAUCCCAGUGACAACCCCUCUCACCUGGCACCUUGUAGUGGAAGACCCAAGGAAGUUCACCAAAGCCGCGCUGUAAUUGCACAUUCAUUGUAUAUGUAUCGUAUUUUUCAUUCAAUAUCACCCUUGCUUUUAGCAUACAAACAGCAGUUCUUCAAAAUAUAAGCUAUACUGAAAUUUAGUGUAAAAAUAGAAAUUGUCCAUCAUAUAGAGUAUAGGUCAUUUUAAAAAUAUUUCAUUUCUUUUUUAGCCGAUUUCAUCAUUCACUUUAUUCACCAAUGGUGAUUUUAUAUACCAGGUUUUAUUGUAUGUGUAUACACACACACAGACACACACACACAUACACACACACAAUCGGGUAAACAUGUCUUUAUGGGGACCGGUCAUUCAUUUUUAUGUGAAAAAUGAUGAUGCUAACUAUGACAACCUUAACCCCCCCCCAGCCCUAAGCAUAACCAUAAGUAAUCAAGCAAAAUACAAUAGUUUUUGCAUUUUUAGUUUUUUCAUUGCAGUCACAGAUUUUAAUUGACUUGAGUUUUCCGUUAUGGGAUUUUCUGGUCCCCAUAAGGGAAAAAAACAGGUAUUCAUCAUGUUGUGGGGGCAUUAUGUCCCCAUAAGGUAAGGUAUACCUGCUCUCUCUCUCUCUCUCUCUCUCUCUCUCUCUCUCUCACACACACACACACACGCACACAAAUUCAUACCAUAUAUUUCAGAUUUCAUUGUAUAUAUAUAUAUCUGCUUUCAUUCCAUAUAUAUCAGGUGACAGAAAAAUAUUGAGAACCACUGCCUUAGCCUGUUUGUCCCUCAGCUUAAGAACUGCAGCCCCACUUCCGAGACGAAAAUGCAAUUAUUUCAUCUACAGCACCAUUGUUUCCAGGAUGAGUAAUUAGUGCUACUGUAGAUUGCCGCCAGUGGGCGGGUCAGGUGCAGUCAGUGCAUGGUUUGAAAUAUCUCAGUUCUGAUACAUGUUAUGGAAAUUUUCACACUGCAUACAUUGAUUAUGACUUUACGUUCCAAAUAAAUUAUGAAUUCAUUAUAGGAAAGUUAUCACAUUUGGAACUGACAUGCAAGAUUCACCUGAGAGAUACUUUGUUUUUUAGAGAACUACAAAACUCCAAAAUACACCAUGUGGUCAAAAUUAUGUGGACAUCCCUUAUAAAUAUAGGAAUUAAACCAUAUGCCUAGUCAUGCAUGAGAGUAUAGUAACCUUCAGUUUGGUACCAUCAGAGGAUGCUAUCUUUCCAUCAUGUCAGUUUGCCAAGUGGAACGCUCAGUUGUGAAGUGGUGGGUAACACAAACUCACAGCAAGGGAUCUGAUCACCCCGCAUCAAUACCCAAUAUGAAUGGCAGCAAAUCCCAUAAGCAAUGGUGCAGCCUUCAACGGAAAGUCUUCAUAGAAGAGUCGAGGCUAUGAUAACAACAAAGAGUGUAUGACCUUCAUAUCUCACUAGGUGGUGCUCACAUAAUUCUGGCAAAAUAGUAUAUUAUAAAUGAUAGUAAUUAUAAAUCUAGUAAUCUUUAAGUCAGAGCAUAUAUUAAGCCAAUAUCUCUGCAUGCAAAGACAUCCUUCUCCUCAGACUCACUGCUACCACAUUCUAAAAUCAUAUGUGUGUUGAGAAGUUUUCAUUUAAUCAGAUAUAUGUUGCACUGUGGAACAUUUUGCACUCUUGUCAUACAAAUGACACAAGAACAGACAUUGGUAAAUAUAAUGCAGUUGAUCUGCUGUGUUGCUGUACAGCAUGAGGAAAAACUUUAAACACUCUCAAUAACUAAAUAUUCAAUUUGGAUGACUUAACAGUAAUACACAAAUAUUUAUUUAAAUAUCAUAAUUUUGGAGAAAGGGUUGUUUUUAAUUAUUAAUGGCUUGCCUGCAAUAGAUCCCCUGGUGUAGUGCUUUAUUAGCACUACUAGGCUACCUCAAAUCACAUUGCUCUUGAAGUAGCCAUGCAUAAUCAAAAUAAGCAAUUCUUUAUGUUACAGCACAAGCCCUGUUGAAAGCUCCCUGCCACCAAAGACAGAAGUCCCUCCUCAGACAGUAUAAUAACAAAAGGAGCAGACGACUGGAGAGUGGAAGAUCAGAUAUCAGCACUUUGUUAAUUUCAUCGGGCUGGAGAUCCACAACAUGCAGAUGCGCAUCAAUUCUGCAGUCAAAUAUCAUGACAUUUUGUACUACAUAGGAAUUCUUUGAUUUUUACAAAUCGUAUAAUGCUCUAUGUGAAAUAUAGGCAAAUGUGGCUGCAAAAGGGUGCAACAUGGUUAAUAUCCCAAUCAUGUGAUUUGAACCACUGAAAUUCUCAACAAGGACACAUAUAUCCCUAACCUGCAGAGGCAGACACUGCCUCAGCUAAACCAUGCAUUCCCUUGUCCUGACCAGUAGUCAUUUCAUAAUCUGAUAGUCUUACUUUAACCAGUAAUGUAGUGGCUAGGGCUGCUUGAUUAUGGCAAAAAUGAUAAUCACAAUUAUUUAACCCAUUCACUUUGAAAAUAUCAUGCAUUUAUUGAAGUAAAAAUGACUUUUUAACAGUGUUACAGCAUGGCAUGGCACAGGCGGAAAAAAGGUGACGAUCCACUGUCAGCACACAAGACUACAAGAAGUUUAUUAAAGAAAACAGAACACACUGGGGUAAACAAAAGGACCACAGGGGGUCAAGACUAAAUAGGAACAGAACAAACGCAGACACUUAAAUGGAAACACGUAACUGACUAACGAGGAGGCGGGUGUGGAACAUGACAAUUAAACAAUCAACCGAGACAGCAACAAGCAAGAGGUGGGGUGACUUAAAAAAACGAGCACAGAACUAGAGAUUUCUAACAAACGCUGAAACUAGGAAGCACUAACCACACUAGGAUAAGUAACAUGGAACUAAAAUACAAACAGGACUGGAAGUGAACAGGACAAAAAGUAGGGCAAACCUGUAACUGGGAAAGAAAACAAAGUAACAAAAACAGUAAAUACAAAUAAACAGGUGAGAUUGGCCCCUAGCUAGCCUCAAAUCCAUGACCAGAAGAUUAAUGGUUCCUGAGCCACACACUCAACCCACUAGGCGAAGGGACUAAAAGAUGGAAGAAGGAACAGGACGGCCUGCCACCUCCUGGCCAAAACGUAGCAUGUAGGACAGGGGCAGAUAGCGCCGACCCUGACAAAACACUAAAUAUGUACAAGAAACAAAUGAAAGGGAGCUGGAAAGGGGUAAAUUUACAAAAUGUAUAACACAACACAAAAUGGGAGCAUCAUUGUGAAACCAAAUGUGGUACAGUAAUGUUUUAUUGCAAUUUUUUUGUUUUGAUAAUCAUUGAAAACCAAAUCGUAACAUGAUUAAUUGCCCAGAUAUCGCAUUACAUGUUUCUGGGAGGUUUUGGUGGCCCCUGAGGAAAACUAAGGAAUGCCAUGAUUUUUAUUGCUGGAAAAGGAGUCACAUUUUCCUUUCCCCUCAUGCUGCUGCUAUACCUCUUUUGGCAAACUAGUAAAUAUGUAAUGAAAUCACCAUUUAUCUAUACAUGAAAUAAGUGUUGGUUAACUGAGUCACUGCUGUUGUUAUAUAAAACAAAGUAGUGGGAUGUUUCAUGUUUUAUAACUAGAUUUAUUAAGCAUUGCAUCUACCAUUGGGCACACGAAACUUAAAUUAUAUAAAUGCAUUUUCAACAGACAACUUUUCUUCAAGAAGGCAUAUUUAUGAAUGUAAGGGCUCACAUACUGUACAUAUAAUAACAUAAAUAAUUACUACUGUGCAUGUGCUAAACUUGUGUAAAAGCUUCAGCUAGUUUUGGAACAGAAGUAACAUGAUUCCAAGCAUAUCCAUAUGUCUUGGAUGUACCUUCAGAGCUGAUACUUCAAAACAAAUGGGCCAUGAGACUAGCCAAAAAAAAGAGAAUAUAUGAAAAGCAUGAGAAAAUAAAGGAACUAAGCAAACACAAAGCAAUCAUAUUACUGAAGAGAUUUUAAUGCUGCUGGUGAAGAUUGAUUAUGCUAGGAAUACAUUCAGUAUUAUAAUAUAAACUUUCUGUAAAUUAAGUAUUUCAACAUCUAAUUUUGCAACCAGAACACUACAGAUAUGAAAUUUGAAUUGGAGGAACAAACAUUCUUAUUCUUAUACAGCAUCCUUCUUAUACACUGCCUGGCCAAAAAAAAAGGUCGCCAUUUGAAUUUAUAUCAGCAAAUAUUUAAGAGCCAAUCACUGGAUCAUUAUUACAGCCCUGCAAUGUUAUGCCGCAAUAAAUUGAAGUUAUCUGAGUACCUGAAACUACUGAAUGGCCAAGUUACACCUCCAUCCAUUUUUUUCUUUCGUGUUGGCAUGGGCAUAUUUCCAAGACAAGAAUGCUAAGAUUCACUGAGUUUGAAUUGUCAAAGACUGGUUCAAAGAACAUGAGGAAUCAUUUUUGUAUGACUUGGUCAUGAAUUUGUAUGACUUGGUUGAAGGUCUUUGGGAUGUGAUAAAGGAGGCUUUAUGGAGCGGUUCAACUCGCUUGUCAAUACAGGAUCUCGAUGAGAAAUAUAUGCAAAUCUGCAUGAAAAUAAAGGGUGAGAUCUUGCAUAAGCCAGUAGAAACAAUGCCAUGACAAAUGUGUGCCAUAAUUAAAGCUAAAGGCGAUCCAACAAAAAAUUGAAAUGGCAACUUUUUUUUUGGACGGGCAGAUAAUUUCAAAGAAAAUUACAAUUUUUGCAAUCCAUUCAUUUUGUAAAACAUAAUUUUUUCUCCAACCUGCACUAAAAAUGUAUUAUUUCAUGUUUAACUAUUAAAUUCCUAGAAUGCUCAUCUUAUUUCUGUUUCUUUAUUUUAUGCAUAAUAAAUAUAUGUCAAAAAACUGA